CCUACGGGGCGCAGCAGUGAGGAAUAUUGGUCAAUGGACGAGAGUCUGAACCAGCCAAGUAGCGUGAAGGAUGACUGCCCUAUGGGUUGUAAACUUCUUUUAUAUGGGAAUAAAAUGUUCCACGUGUGGGAUUUUGUAUGUACCAUAUGAAUAAGGAUCGGCUAACUCCGUGCCAGCAGCCGCGGUAAUACGGAGGAUCCGAGCGUUAUCCGGCUUUAUUGGGUUUAAAGGGAGCGUAGGUGGAUUGUUAAGUCAGUUGUGAAAGUUUGCGGCUCAACCGUAAAAUUGCAGUUGAAACUGGCAGUCUUGAGUACAGUAGAGGUGAGCGGAAUUCGUGGUGUAGCGGUGAAAUGCUUAGAUAUCACGAAGAACUCCGAUUGCGAAGGCAGUUCACUGGACUGCAACUGACACUGAGGCUCGAAAGUGUGGGUAUCAAACAGGAUUAGAUACCCCGGUAGUC
rnacentral:rRNA from 1 species